rnacentral:rRNA from 1 species
AACGAACGCUGGCGGCAGGCUUAACACAUGCAAGUCGAGCGCCCCGCAAGGGGAGCGGCAGACUGGUGAGUAACGCGUGGGAAUCUACCCAUCUCUACGGAAUAACGCAUGGAAACGUGUGCUAAUACCGUAUACGUCCUUCGGGAGAAAGAUUUAUCGGAGAUGGAUGAGCCCGCGUUGGAUUAGCUAGUUGGUGGGGUAAAGGCCUACCAAGGCGACGAUCCAUAGCUGGUCUGAGAGGAUGAUCAGCCACACUGGGACUGAGACACGGCCCAGACUCCUACGGGAGGCAGCAGUGGGGAAUAUUGGACAAUGGGCGCAAGCCUGAUCCAGCCAUGCCGCGUGAGUGAUGAAGGCCCUAGGGUUGUAAAGCUCUUUCACCGGCGAAGAUAAUGACGGUAACCGGAGAAGAAGCCCCGGCUAGCUUCGUGCCAGCCGCCGCGGUAAUAC